rnacentral:rRNA from 1 species
CCUACGGGAGGCAGCAGUAGGGAAUUUUCGUCAAUGGGCGCAAGCCUGAACGAGCGAUGCCGCGUGAGUGAAGAAGGCCUUCGGGUCGUAAAGCUCUGUUGCGGGGGAAAAAAGGCAGCAUCAGGAAAUGGGUGCUGACUGAUGGUGCCCCGCCAGAAAGUCACGGCUAACUACGUGCCAGCAGCCGCGGUAAUACGUAGGUGGCGAGCGUUAUCCGGAAUGAUUGGGCGUAAAGGGUGCGCAGGCGGUCCUGCAAGUCUGGAGUGAAACGCAUGAGCUCAACUCAUGCAUGGCUUUGGAAACUGGAGGACUGGAGAGCAGGAGAGGGCGGUGGAACUCCAUGUGUAGCGGUAAAAUGCGUAGAUAUCAGGAGGAACAUCAGUGGCGAAGGCGGCCGCCUGGCACAAAACUGACGCUGAGGUGCGAAAGCGUGGGUAGCAAACAGGAUUAGAUACCCUUGUAGUC